UACGAGGGGAGCAAGCGUUGUUCGGAUUUACUGGGCGUAAAGGGCGCGUAGGCGGUCGUGACAAGUCACUUGUGAAAUCUCCGGGCUUAACUCGGAACGGUCAAGUGAUACUGUCGGACUAGAGUACAGAAGGGGCAACUGGAAUUCUCGGUGUAGCGGUGAAAUGCGUAGAUAUCUGGAGGAACACCGGUGGCGAAGGCGGCAUCCUGGACCAACACUGACACUGAGGAGCGAAAGCCAGGGGAGCAAACGGG
rnacentral:rRNA from 1 species